GUGCAAACUCGAUGACUAACUCUGCAUGACGUUGCGAAAGUGAAGGGAACCAGGUUCGCUUAAGUAAUUGUGGUGACAGAAAUGUAUUGGUCUCAGAAGCUACUGAGGUGGACCAUUCUAUCCUAGGACAGUG